GGGUCUGAUCGUGCAUUGUUCUUUGAGUUUUCUGGUUUGACUGUAUAUCUUUUGUAGUCUUCCUGAUGACUGUUGGUGACUCGCUGCUGCUCUGCUCAACCAGCUCCUGCGCUGUGGGACCGUGCUCUUGAUACUGCUGUUAAAUCUCAUCUUAAACCCUACAUGAAACCCAAUAACUACUGUCAUGUGAAGAGACAUCUGCAUGUUUGCGUGGGCUUCGCAGUCUCUUACUCAGGCUUUCCUUUCAUGACAUUUAGGAGGAAAGGAGGAAAGGAAACUGCUGUUGAAUAUGAGAUGCCUGGGAUUUCUGUUUUAUUAUACUUUUUAAAUAUUUGAACUCUGCUUCAGGACGGAACAAAUUAGAGUUGAAACUGCAGGGUGGAAUGUGGACUUCAUCCCAUAGUCUUACACUGAAGAAAAAAGAAUUACAAAGAAUAAUGAUCCAUGGAUUCUAGAGAGGGACAUGGGUAUAUGCAAUUGUCCAGCUGCUGUGAGUCAGCUUGGUGUGGUGGAAGCUUAUGAUGUGAGAUGUGCAGUGGUUACCAUAGCAUAUAGCAAAUGAAGGUGUGCAAGCAUGAGGGAGCUAACACGACCCCUAACAGCAGGAUGAAUAAUGAUUUGGUUGCUAAAGAAGAAAACGGAUGAGGAUGUCUCAGUGUCCACAGAGCGGAAUGCAUGAUGGCUUCACCUACUUGAGAAGUUGCUAUCCUGGGCUGGCAACACUUCUGUGAGAGGUUGAUCUGUCUGAACUGCUGAAACUUGAUGACUUGCAAUCAACAGUCUGUAGAACAAUAUGGUCAGCAGUGUAAAGAUGUGGAUUUUUUUCUGCCUCUAAAUGCAGGCUGCUCUUCUGGGCCAGUGAGGACUGCUCCAGUGAGAAGAAACAGGAAAGGCUGUGAGUCGUGGGCAUCCCACUGCCUCUGCUGUGCUGAUUCCUGGGGAAGUAGGAGAAGAAGGGCUCCAACAGCCUCACGGGGGCCCAGCACUGGAAGCAGGAGCUCGGAAUUGCCCACUGCAGCCUCCUUUCUACAGUACUGCCAUGGCCAGUGCAAGGUGUUCAGGGGAUCCUUGCAGGUAAUGGGCUGAGCUGAGGGGUGCCAGCUGCUCCUUACAAGUACAAGCAGUACAAGGAUCACAAGGAAGGAUGGGCAAUAAUAAUUGACUGAAGCAAUCACUGCUGUGGGAAAACAAACGUCCUGGCAGUGUCGCAUCUGAAGGUCAAGCCUGAUGACACAGUAAGCACCUGAACUCUCACUGACUCCCGGGGAGGCGGCCGAUGAGCGCCUCCCGGAGCUCGCCUGGCAGGGACAGAUUUACACAGCUGCCAGGGCAGGGGGUGAGGAUGCUUUUUUGCUCCCACCUCCUUCCGUUGGGUCUGCAAAGUCAUUUAUUUCCAUAACAGCGCCAUGUUCUCUCUGGCGCCUCUGCUUGGUAUGUCAGCUGCAUGAAACCAGAGAGAAAAGGCACUUCUGAGCUGCCAGGGACCAUGCAUCCCUCCUCCUCCAAACAAUUGUGCUGGCCCUGAUUCACUUCACACAAGCUGCUGUCCACCCUGCACACGUCUGAAAGCUGUAGCACUGAGGCCCAGAUCUUUGGAUACUGUUGAAGCAGGAAGCAACAAACCCAGAUUUAUUCACUUGAAUUGCUAAUUUGCCUUUUCUAGGUUAAUCUUUCCUCUUUCCCUGGAUUUCUUCGAUCCUGGGAUGUUUUCAUUGAGAAAGUGAUUGAAGAGGCAUUUAGAUUUUCUGUAUUAUGGAAAUCUUUUCACAGCUGUCAGAAUUGCUCAUUUUGUCCUUCUGUUUCAGAAGCUAAGUUCUAAGCAAACAUACACACACAUUUAAAAUAGAGGCAAGGGAAUAAGGAACAGAAAAUAGUCACUCUAGUACAAAUGUGUGUUUCUGAGGCUGACAUAUAUUCUGACAUAUGUUCAUGGUAACCGUCUUGGGAGUCAAUGGGAUGAACUUAGUGGUAGUGUAAGAGCUGAUGAUGUAGAUUACAGAUAAGAAAUAUUUUUGUAAAGAAGCUUGCUUGUAAAACUUAAAGUUUAACACUCAGCACAAUAAAUUCCACUUUCAGGUAAUGUGGGCAUUCAAUAACCAUAAAAAGAAACUGGUAAAAGUUUUGUGUGUGCUGAAGGAGAGAGAAAUGUGCCUUAGAUUAGGUGUUACAUACCUUUCACUUAGCUGCUUUUCCUCUUCUGUUUCCUCUUUUCAUGAUUUACCUCAACACAGACUCUGGGCUCCUUUUCCUCAGUCUGUGUUGCCCAUCACCUCUGAAUUCAUCCCUAUGAAUAUUUAUUCACAGGUCUUUCACAACAGCGCAGACUGGCACUGUGCUAUAAAAUAAAGGUAGCAUUCAAUUAUAAAUUGUACAUAAACUCUAAAUCUUCACAAAGGUAAUUACAAAACCAUUAAAAUUUUUUUUUAAAUUUAAUUUUGACAUAAAUAUUAUGAAAUAAAUUAAGGCGAAUGUAAAGCUGAGUAAGAAUUUCAUCCCAGAAUCUGGAAGGAAGCAAAAGGUUAAAAUGUAUAUGUAUAUGUGCCUUCAUGAUAGCACAGAAUCAGGACUGUGUGCACUUUGGUCUGUUGCUCUUGUUGUUUCCUUGCUCAGUAGAACCCUCACUGCUGGUACAUACUCUGCAAUGCUAAUUCAGAGAAUGGCCCCCUGGGUAAUUUAGCUGAAAUUGGAGUCUCUAAAGGAUGAAACUUUGCUGUUCUUUGGCUUCAGUGGAUAUCACAGCCCUGAAUGGAAUACCACUGAACAUAACAAAAAUGUUCAGAUCUGGAAAAAUGCUUACUGAAAUCAGUGAGAGGAAGGGAGCUUCAACUCCAGUGGUUAACGCUUCGUUCUGCCCUUUUUCUCAGUAGAUAAAAAGAUUGGCUUUGUAAUGCCUACUCAUUUUUUUAAGAUCAGUACGACAAACCUAAAUUGUCCAAUGGAUGUGUGUGCUGUGUUAGCAUUGCAAGUCACAUUAGACUUUUGAAAAAAUAUCUAUUUCAUUUUACAAUAAUUCCAGUCUGUGCAGCAAACGAAUGUAUUUUUAAGGAAAUCUGUUUAACCAGGAAAAUCACUAAGGAAUUCCUCAGGAGUUAUAUAUAGCUUUUAGUUGACAGACUUCCUUAAAUAACUCCUUUUUCUAUGUCUACAGUAAUUAAAACAAAAAUUGUCCUUUGAGUAUUUGCUGUUGGCAAGAUGUAUUUAGUUUAAUUUUCUCCAAAUGCUCAAGAGCUUUCUACAUUUAUGGGGAAGGAGUUUGGUCUUGUGAACAUGAGAGAGAUUCACAUUCUUUGAAUUUGCUCUAAGGUAAUAUAUUCCAGUAUACAUCUCUGGUUCUCCUGGUCAUUUUGAGGGAGUGCAGAAAUUGUCUGCUCAUUGCAUCAGUAGUCACUGUCCUGGAAGCUGAUUUAGUGGCAUGACAGCUGUAGCAUUACAAACAACAUCAGUUGUGGGGCUUUGGGGAUAAAAUUCCCCUCUAAGUAACCAAAGAAGGCAGUCCCGAUUACAGAAAAUGGUGAUGUUGAACAGAACUGCUCUGAAUACAUGCAGGAAACAAGCAGAAGAGAAGUGCGUUUGUAAGCAAUCUUGUCCUGGGUGCAGCUUGGGCUGUGUUAAAGCACAAGGAAUUUAUGCUAAAGAUGAAACACAAAUGCUCUCGCAGGAGGUUAGCAGGGGGCAUCUUCAUUUUUGAAAAGUAACGUACACUUAAAUGUUGAAAUACAUUUUAAUGAAUGACACUGUACAUCUAUAUGAAAAUGUUCGUGCAGUGGGAUAGGCCACCAGAGAAGACUCGAGUAUGAAAAAAAGCGUUGUCGUUUGUGACUGAAUGAAUGAAUAACCAUUAGCUUAAAGGAACACACACACACUAGAUCUAAAUGCUUAAUUAAAUAUUUUGGUAUUUGCUCUGGGAUUUAUUUGUCAACAAGUGACUGAUGAUUCUUGCUUUAUACGCAUCCAUCUACCUUGCUUAUGAGUUUGUUAACUUCCUCAGGUGAUGGUUAAAAGAUCAGUGCAUAUUUGACCAAACUAGAAAGGUGGUGAGAAAAUGCAGCAAAAUGAAACGUUAACUGAAAGUUCUUCCAUUUUGCCACAUGUUCUUUUCAAACAAAUGUGCCAGAUUAACUGAAAGACAGAAGUUUACCAAGAUGUUCAAAGACAGAAAAGGAGUAGAAACAUUUCUACUAAUUAGAAGAAAAAAAAUAUAUUUCAUUAUGCCUUCCUUGUCCUCAAUUCCAGCCGUGAAUUUAGAAUUAAUAUACUCUGAUUCUGAAUCCGUAAGAGAAAUUGGCUGUAAACAAAAGCAAACAUUUAUUUUCGUUACUAAAGCUGAGAAAAAUGUAAUCUGUAUGACAAGAAAAAUGUAUAUA